rnacentral:rRNA from 1 species
AAAUCGGGCGGUAAAUUCCGUCCAAGGCUAAAUAUUGGCGAGAGACCGAUAGCAAACAAGUACCGCGAGGGAAAGAUGAAAAGGACUUUGAGAAAAGAGUCAAAGAGUACUUGAAAUUGUCGGGAGGGAAGCGGAUGGGGGCCGGCGGUGCGCCCCGGUCGGAUGUGGAACGGCGCGAGCCGGUCUGCCGAUCGACUCGGGGCGUGGACCGACGCGGAUCGUGGCGGCGGCCCAAGCCCGAGCCUUCGUUGAGCUCGCGGAGACGUCGUCGCGGCGAUCGUGGAAGGCAGCGCGCGCCUUCGGCGUGCUUAGGCAUCAGCRCGCUCCGGGCGUCGGCCUGCGGGCUCCCCAUUCGGCCCGUCUUGAAACACGGACCAAGGAGUCUGACAUGUGUGCGAGUCAACGGGCCAGUAAACCCGCGAGGCGCAAGGAAGCUGACUGGCGGGAUCCCCUUGCGGGUUGCACCGCCGACCGACCUUGAUCUUCUGAGAAGGUUCGAGUGCGAGCAUGCCUGUCGGGACCCGAAAGAUGGUGAACUAUGCCUGAGC